GAUCAUGGCUCAGGAUGAACGCUAGCUACAGGCUUAACACAUGCAAGUCGAGGGGCAGCAUGAACUUAGCUUGCUAAGUUUGAUGGCGACCGGCGCACGGGUGAGUAACACGUAUCCAACCUGCCGAUGACUCGGGGAUAGCCUUUCGAAAGAAAGAUUAAUACCCGAUGAAUUCGUUUAGUCGCAUGGCUUGAUGAAGAAAGAUUUAUCAGUAAAGGAUGGGGAUGCGU
rnacentral:rRNA from 1 species